ensembl:lncRNA
CAGGAUCAGAAAUGGAAGAAUCCAAAGUACUUUGCUGGACUCUCAGAAGAAUAAUGCAAAGAACAGUGGCAAAAGUGAAUGAAGAUACUGCCUUAUUCAUAUUCAGAGUAAAAAUACAGGUUCUAUUAUAUGUAUUUUCACAUGGAGACAAGAAACCGUAGUUUAUCCAACAAGCAUUGGAUACCGUACCCACAAGAAGGAAGCUGGCUAGACUAUCAUUGCAUCCUACCCGCAGUGAUGGACCAAUAUGCAGAUCUUGCUAUCACAAACCUGAACAGCAAGGAUGAAAGAAAAACUGGAAAAGAAAUUAACAGAAACUGCUGGAUGUCCAGCAAUUUCCGGUGGGAGAUUUAAAUGGGCACAAACCCAGAAGAAGCCCUUGAUUGCUGAGGAUCACUGAUUGGCGGUGUUCUGGCCAGAACCGGAGCAACUGAUCGAGAGGUACAGGGGGGUUUCCGUCAGUUCCUUCUUCCAGGGAACCCUGAGAUAACAGAGCAGCCUGGCAGCUCUUGCGAGAGCAGCUGACAUGACGUGGGUGUUGCCAGGGCAACAGUUCUGCAUCCACGCCCCUUGCCUAGAAAAAGCCUCAGGGAGCAGAGACAGAAAGGAGGAGUCAGGGUGUGCAUCACAUGGGCCGUUCAAAAGUGGAGAAACGGUAAGCCACUCAUUCACGGGACUACACAGUGAGGAGGUUUGUUAUUACUGCAAAGAGACUGAUAAGUGCGGGGGCACCUGUUAAUGGCCUGGUAAUGGGGCAAGGGUGGUACCAGCACUACUGGCAUCAGGGCAGAGCUGAUCAGUCACACCUCAUUAAGUCUACCCUAAUAGUGCUAGUGAGUCUGCUGGUUUGCCAUGGCUGCACCCGCUGGAAGGCUACUGCCAGGAAAAAUGUGGGGACCCAGGCGGAGGUCUCAUGCACACAUGAAAAGAAGGCUGCAGCCAAGAAAAAUGUGGAGGCCCAGACUGAAGUUGCAAAAUAACAUGCUAGUGCGCAAGUCUCUGGCUGUAGUGAGUGCAAUGAUGGAGAUGAUGGUUCUCCCCAUUUGGUGGUGUCACCAAAGUCUAACCAAACCUCACUUAGCAUUAAAACCUCAUCGGCAAAGAAAAAAAAUGAGAUGUCACUGUCACUGGUGACUCUGCUGAAGGAAGAAGGGCCAAUAUGUACACCAGACCCUAUACAGAGGGAGGUCUGUUGCCUCCUGGGAGCCUGGGUUUAAUGACAUAGGAAGAAACUUCCUUCCCUAGUUUGGCCCUCAGAUUACUAUCCCCUAUUGUUGUUUCAGGUAGGCAGAGAUGAUAUAGGAAGACCUUCCCUAAAGACUAUGAAACAGGACUUUAGAGCCUUGGGGCAACAGGUAAAGGGUUUGGGAGCAAAAGUUGUGUUCUCCUCUAUCCCUCCAGUUGUAGGGAAUGAUGAGGAACUAAAUACAAUGGGCCAACAGAUUAACGCCUGGCUCUAAGCCUAGUGUGCCUGGCAGGGUUUUGUUUUUUUUUGACCUCUGAUCUGUUUGCAUGAGACCAGGCCUGCUGGCAACCAAUAGGAGUAGCUUCUCCCACCAGUGGAAGGGGGUCUUAAGACGGGAGUUGGGAAGGUUCAUGGAUAGAGCUUUAAACUAGGUACAAAGGGGGGUGGGGGUGUAACUGGGGUCAUUAGAAUGGAGCCUGUAUGUAACAUUCAAGUGCUUGUAGGAGAGGGAUGUGCUAGUAGGAUCCCCCAGUCUUGUGUCUUGGUGAUGGAAGAGGACAACUCACUCUUUUGUAGGGAGAACACGGGGGUUGGUGUGAGGUUGGUGGCUAUGGAAACACCUGAGUAUGGUCAUGAGAGUAUUAGGACUACUGCCACGCCAAAGGAGGCCCAGCUCAGGUGCCUCUACACUAAGGCACGCAGCAUGGGUAAUAAACAGGAGGAGCUGGAGGCCACUGUGCGGUCGGAAAGCUAUGAUAGAGUUGCCAUCACGGAAACACGGUGGAAUGACUUGUACUGUGGGAGUACUGUGAUGGAUGGCUACUGACUUUUCAAAAGAGAUAGGCAAGGCAGGAAGGGUGGUGGUGUAGCCCUCUAUGUUAAGAAAGGAUGUGAACGUAUGGGAAUUAAUGAUGGUGAUGAUAGGGUUGAGAGCUUGUAGAUCAGAGUAAAAGUGAAGGCCAAGACUGAUUUCGUCAUGGGAGUCUGCUCCAGGCCACCCAACCAGGAUGAAGAGGUGGACAAGACACCUUUAUAGACAGUUCGGUGAGGUGUCAAGGUCUCUCCCCCUUGUUUGAGUGGGGGACUUCAACUUCCCCAAUUUCUGCUGGAUUUACAACACAGCAGAUAGGGAACAGUCGCAGAGGUUCCUAGAGUGUGUGGGAGGUAUCUUCCAGACACAGCUGGUGAAGGAGCCAACGAAGGGAAGCAAAAUCCUGGACCUGCUGUUUGCUAACAGAGAAGGACCUGUGGGGGAUGUAAAUGUUGGAGGCCGUCUGGGGCACAGUGAUCACAAGAUGCUGGAUUUCUCAAUCCUUGUUGAAGCAUGGAGGGGAGUCAGGAGAAUCGCCACCUUGGACUUUUGGAGGGCAGUCUUUAACCAUGGUUAAAGACCAUUUAGGACCAUGGUUGAGAGGGUUCCUUGAGCAGGUUGUUUUAGAGAGCCCAGGAAGGCUGGGAAUACUUUAAGGAAGUAAUUUUAAAGGUUCAGGAGCUGACCAUCCCCAAGUCACGGAAGACGAGCCAAUGGGCAAGGAGGCCUGACUGUCUGAAGAGAGACCUUUGGCUGGAUCUCAAGACCAAAAGGAUGGUUCAUGUUCUCUGGAAGAGUGGGCAAGCUACUUAUGAUGAUUACAGGUAUGUAGUGAAGCUGUGCAGAGAGAAAAUUAGAAAAGCCAAAGCGGAGCUAGAACUGAACUUGGCCGCUAAGGUAAAGGACGACAAUAAAUAGUUCUAUAAAUACAUCAACAGCAAGAGGAGGGCUAGGGAGAAUCUCCAUCCCUUGAUGGACACAGAGGGCAGCUUGGUGACCAAGGAUCAGGAUAAGCUUGAGGUUCUUAAUGCCUCCUUUGCCUCAGUCUUUAAUAGUAAGACUUGUUACUCCCUGGGAACACAGCCCCCUGCGCUGGUAGCUAGGGAUGGGGAACAGAAUAGGCCCUGCAUGAUCCACGAUGAGAUGGUUUUGGAUCUGCUCCGAAAGCUGGAUGCUCACAAGUCCAUGGGGCUGGAUGGAUUGCACCCUAGAGUGCUGAGGAAGUUGGCGGAUGUGGUUGCCAAGACAUUGAAGAGCAAAAUCAGGUCCCUGCAGUAUAGAAAGAAGGGCUUCAUAGCAAGAAAAGAGAAAGCAGCUUCACAAAGUAGACAUAAGGUGCAAAUAGAGAUAGUUUAUGUAGAGAGUAUUAGAAAACAAGGGAUUCCAAGCACUUUCACAGGCGCUAGGUCCAGAAUAACAAGGAGAAUGAAGGCCAUAAAGAUAAGGACUGGAGAAGAGCUCAAAAACAUUUGGCAGGGAGGUGAUUAGAUGUCUGAAGUGCAAGCUGAAACCAGUUCGGGGGAUGCCCCCCCUUCAGGGUCAGAAGUUUGCAGCGAGGAAGACUAUGAGCCUUCGCGAGGAAGACUACGAGCCUUCAUCAACACGACCUACUACGCACGCGCAAGGGGGGUAGGGACUGUAUGCUAAUGGACUCUCGGGAAUGUAGUGAAUAUGUAUCCGAAUUCCUGAUUAUGUAUUAGUUUGACCUAUAUCUAUAACACGAUUUCUUCGGACGGUGUGCAAAUUAGGUGGAACGAUCCCCUUUGCACCAGGGUGUGCACACGUCACCAAUAAACAUACCUGCUCUAUAUCCUUACUGGCUAUAGAGUCUAAUUUCCGCACG